rnacentral:rRNA from 1 species
UAAGAGGUCCCGCCUGCCCUGUGACUCAUGUUUAACGGCCGCGGUAUUCUGACCGUGCAAAGGUAGCGCAAUCACUUGUCUUUUAAAUGAAGACCUGUAUGAAUGGCAUAACGAGGGCUUGACUGUCUCCUCUUUCUGGUCGAUGAAAUUGAUCUUUCCGUGCAGAAGCGGGAAUGUCAACAUAAGACGAGAAGACCCUGUGGAGCUUUAGACUCCAAAACAGCCCCCGUUAAAAAAGCCUGAUUAACGGCCUAUAACCUUAAACUAACCUGUUUUACUGUCUUUGGUUGGGGCGACCGCGGAGAACUAUUUAACCUCCAUGUGGACCGAAAGAACUAGUCUUUCAUAGCUUAGAGUGACAACUCCAAGUAACAGAAUUUCUGACCAAAAAUGAUCCGGUAAAACCGAUCAACGAACCGAGUUACCCCAGGGAUAACAGCGCAAUCCUCUUUUAGAGCCCAUAUCGACAAGAGGGUUUACGACCUCGAUGUUGGAUCAGGACAUCCUAAUGGUGCAGCCGCUAUUAAGGGCUCGUUUGUUCAACG